GUCAAAAAAAUCAACUUUGGCAUGGGGAAAUGACAGUGAAUGGAACAUAAUUUUGACCAUGGGGGAACUUCCAGUAAGAAAAGCAGAUGUACAACUGUCUCCUGAGAGAGAAGAGAAUCCAGACGAGUCCUGCAACCAUCCUUAUUAAGACAGAUAGGGAAGGACUCCAGACUGGAGACAAGGAGACUUCUCUAGGGAAGCCCUCGAGACCUAUGCAUUGGCUGCCACUGAGGAAAGAAGGCUGUCUGCUCCACUGAAGAGCAUGGUGUGGAUUAGCAGGACUUUCAUUCAUUCAUUUUUAUAGAUAUCUGAUAUUUAGUGAGAAUGCUAUUAACUAAGAGACCCUGUGCUAGGUAGUGAAGAUGCUGAGAUGAGAAAGAUAAACUACGAACUGUGGUAAGUGCUACCAAAAAAA
rnacentral:lncRNA from 1 species